CCUACGGGGGGCAGCAGUGGGGAAUAUUGGACAAUGGGCGAAAGCCUGAUCCAGCCAUGCCGCGUGUGUGAAGAAGGCCUUCGGGUUGUAAAGCACUUUCAGUGGGGAAGAAAGCCUUGGGGCUAAUACCCUCGAGGAAGGACAUCACCCACAGAAGAAGCACCGGCUAACUCCGUGCCAGCAGCCGCGGUAAUACGGAGGGUGCGAGCGUUAAUCGGAAUUACUGGGCGUAAAGCGCGCGUAGGCGGUCUGAUAAGCCGGUUGUGAAAGCCCCGGGCUCAACCUGGGAACGGCAUCCGGAACUGUCAGGCUAGAGUGCAGGAGAGGAAGGUAGAAUUCCCGGUGUAGCGGUGAGAUGCGUAGAGAUCGGGAGGAAUACCAGUGGCGAAGGCGGCCUUCUGGACUGACACUGACGCUGAGGUGCGAAAGCGUGGGUAGCAAACAGGAUUAGAUACCCGAGUAGUC
rnacentral:rRNA from 1 species